rnacentral:rRNA from 1 species
AGCGAACGCUGGCGGCAGGCCUAACACAUGCAAGUCGAACGAACCUUUCGGGGUUAGUGGCGGACGGGUGAGUAACACGUGGGAACGUGCCUUUAGGUUCGGAAUAACUCAGGGAAACUUGUGCUAAUACCGAAUGUGCCCUUCGGGGGAAAGAUUAAUCGCCUUUAGAGCGGCCCGCGUCUGAUUAGCUAGUUGGUUGAGGUAAUGGCUCACCAAGGCGACGAUCAGUAGCUGGUCUGAGAGGAUGAUCAGCCACAUUGGGACUGAGACACGGCCCAAACUCCUACGGGAGGCAGCAGUGGGGAAUCUUGCGCAAUGGGCGAAAGCCUGACGCAGCCAUGACGCGUGAAUGAUGAAGGUCUUAGGAUUGUAAAAUGCUUUCACCGGGGACGAUAAUGACGGUACCCGGAGAAGAAGCCACGGCUAACUUCGUG